UGACGUUAACAACGCCUUCCUCCAUAAUGAUCUUGAUGAAUAUGUAUACAUGCUGCUUCCCCUUCGUUUUCUAAGAAAGGGGGAGAUCAGAGACCAGAGUUUACAAACUCAAUAAAUCAUUGUAUGGCAUCAAUCAAGCAUUGAGAUAAUGGUCACAUUCUAUUGGUAGGAAAUAACUUGGAGCAAAUUCAGAAAUUCAACUAAACUUUUCUCCAAAACCGAAUUUCCUCCUUCCUUCACAGCCCCCUCUUCGUUUCAGCUACUUAGGGAGGAGGGAAGGACCUCGUUUCUUCCCUCCUCUCUUCCUCUUUCUUUCUUUAUGAAUAUUUUUGCUUUUGUUGCUUUUAGCCUAGAGGUUUCUCUAGCCCUUUCCACCUUUCAUGAGGAUUUAUCCUUCGUUUCAUUCGACUUAUCUUGCUCGGCUAUGCAAUCUUAGGGUCUUGGCUUCUACACCGCACCGGUUUCUUCCUCCUCUAUGUUUGAUGAUUUAUUCCCUGCGUUGGUGUCAAGUUUCUAAGUUUUUAGAUUUGAUUUUUUCAAAGUUAGAUCUACUUUCCUCCAUUGGUCCCGGCACUACACGUACCACUCCAUCGCUCUCAUCGACGAUCCAGCUUCCCGACGUUACUAGCCGCGUCUUCUUCUGCCAUCAACGCCCCGGAACGCUUGAAAUCCAUGCCCUGGAGCUCUCCACCCUGCCAGUCCUUGUUGUUGCAGUAUUUUGGGGAGUUUUUUGCUGCUUUUAUAUUAUUUUAUCUUACUUGGGUUAUUGUCUCUUUUUAAGGGAGACUUUUGUAUCUGAAUUUGUGUUGGUGCCUUUCUUUUCUGUGAUUCCAAAUUCGGACUUUAACAGUGUUUUUAUCA